UGAGUAGAGACUCAGAAGGGCUUAUGUUCUAAGUGUAACUUGAAGGUUCGCGCCAUGUGGACCAGGUUGCCAUACUUGGUGCCACGUCAUGUAGACUGUCAACUGUUGUCCUUUGUCUCCUGCUUGUGUGUGUGGACUGCUGUAUUCCCCCUUGCACUCAUAGAGAGUAAAGUCGUAUCAGUAUACCGAGUGAUCCUUUCGUACUUAUUUUACCUUGAACCAAACCAUGAUUAGAACAUGGCGCAGUCGUAAAGGACUUACAAGAGUGCUACGUGUUAAAAGUGAAAAAUUGACUGUGGAAAAUGUGAAAUUGUGCGAAGUUUGGACUCUUGCAGAAAUGUGCGAUGCCACACCCAAUCCUUUGAAGAUGAUUUAGGCAGCCAGGCCCAUGGAAUGUGAAAGUGAUGUAGAAAAUUGAUACCAUUGGUGUGACUUUGUGAUUUUCAAUUAUUUUCUCUGAAAAUUUUUUUUCGAAGACAUUGGUUUAAGUGGCCGAGAAGAAAAGCCUGAUCGGGUGGUGCAAGUGUGUACAAAAUAGACCACAUAUGGAAUUUAAAUGAUCUGGUCAAGUGUUGUAAGUACAAGGACACUACAGGAAGUUUUCUGGACGUUAAAUUUGGAACUUUCCCCUUAAAAACUUUCACAAGACGCUGAGGCUGAAGUCUAACCUCCUUCCCGUGUGAGUGCGUCUCAGUUCAAGGCCGUCAAAGCCUCGUCCAGAUUAAGCGUGGAGGAAGUGCAAGUUAGGUAAUUGCGACUAUGCAUGAGUCAUCGGAAGAACUCAGGAGGCCGUGGCAGUACGGGCCGUGGCAGGCGGGGAAUACUCUCUGGCCGUGGUGCGGGGAAUACCGUCCUGGCCGUGCCGCCCAAGGAGAAUGGAGUCGAGUGGAGUCGUCAAUGCGCGGUAUCCAAGACGCUGUGCAUGAUGGAUUCUCAGAGGCUUUGCAGCAGAACGAACUAGCGGUUCAAGUAAUUAAGACCCGAUGCUGAAAUUGCUCUUAAUGGCAUGGACUGUGAAGCCAAGUAAAGCAACGCUAGUGUGUUGUACGCACAAUAAAUUGAGGAAACGAGCAAAUGAAAGACAAAAUGGUCCUGAUAAAUCUGCCAACUGCAUCAUUUCUACAUUACAAACUAAAGUAACACUGGGAUGCCGUCUAAGCUGAAUCAUACCAUUGAAAUUCAAAAAUAUAAGCCAAGGAAAGAAUGAAAUCAAUGGAAGCGAGAUUGUGGAAAUCAUAAUUGGCUAAUUAUCACAGAGGCCAAAAUUUGAAGAAAAUGUCUACCUGCAAAUCUGAAGGUGUUUGUGGACAGUUUGAAUGAGGAGUACUUUGCUCUUUAAUGUAUGUUGUGGUUUGAAAGACUCGUGAAAGGUGGAUGUGUAGAGUGAUAAUUGUGUUUGGUUUCGUCUGUUUAGUCUGCUUAAAUUAUCGAGUUUAACUACACGCGAUAAUGCCAAAUUAGAGGUAAUGAAAACCCUUUUUCUGAGAUGAAAAGCUAAAGCUUGUGCUGUUCUUAAUGUCUCUAAAAUUGUAAACAAACAAUCCAAAAUGUUCAUAAUGCAAUGUAUAAAAUCCAAGUUGCCUUAAAACUAAAUGAGUAUUAAAAGAAAAGGUGUUACCAGUCUGGGAACGUUUAGACAAGUUGUGACACUUUGGUAGACCAGACAGUCUAGCCGAAUUAGUGUUGCCUUGAAACGUCUCCGUAAUUUAGACUGAAUUGAACUUUAAAAACGCUGAGGAAGGAAGGCAAAGUUCAAAGUUGCUUAAGUGAUUUGAAUAUGCCUAGCGUACUAAGUUACCGAAGUAACUGCACGAAAAUCUGUAUCAGAAUCAUGAAAGAUCAAACGCAGCUAAGAAAGGAAACUGAAACAAUACCAGGAUAAAAGUGUGUUAAUCCUGAAUUGAAAUAAAAGUAUACCAGGAUAAAAGUGUGUCCAUCCUGAAUUGAUUAAGAAACGUGUUUCAUCCUUAACUGAAAAAAAAAGGUCAGGAUAAAAGCGUGUUCGUCCUGAGUGAAAUAAGUAAUGCCAGAAUAAAAGCGUGUUCAUUCUGAAUAAAGUAAUCCCAGGAUAAAAGUCUGUUCAUCCUGAACUGAAGCAAACUUUGAUACAAAAUUAAUAAUAAUCCUCUCAAAAAAUUAAUUCUGAUCAUACUGCAGUUCUGAUCAAAAGUGUCCGAAAAUAAGUAAGCAUUUUCUUGAUGUGUGGUAAAAAGUGUCAAAAACUCAAUUUUGUAAGAGUUGCACUUAGUGUGUUCAUUACCAAGGUGUAGUUUGGUUAUGCUGUGAACGUACGGUACUGAACGUCCUAAUUGUUCCAUGCUGGCUUGCAAAGAGCUAAAGAGUAAAAAGAGAAGGUACUGCAUAUCCUGUUACUGUCAGAGAGUCAAUUGUGAGACUGUGCUCAGAUGCCAAUACAACGUUGCUAGAAAUGUUGAAUUUUGAAACCUGACAUUGCAAUCAGUUUUGGUACUGGCUAUAUCUGACCCGGAGAAAGUCGAUAUAAGUCAAAGUGGGACUGGUUUAAAAGAAACGGAAACGUGAUUUACGGGUUGUAACCACUGGCAGAAAAAUGAAAGAUAAUUUCGAUUUUUCAAGUUAUUGCUGGCAUUCAGUUGCAGCAAGGGUUUCUGUACAAAUGGUUUGGUUGCUGUACAAACGGUUACUGCGAGAUGUUAUGGUACCUUGAUGGUAAAUUGAUAAUUCCAUGCGUGUCAUGAAUUGAAAAUUGAAACUAUUGGUUUAAGACUACAUACAUUUUUGUGUUCAAACGUACAAAUUCUGAAAUGGCUGACAAUAUCUUGACAGUUCCUGGAUUAUUCCCUGAAAAGAUCCAGAAAUGAAUUCCUGGAGUCCUGAAAAAGAUCCAGAAAUGAAUUCCUGGAGUCCUGAAAAAGAUCCAGAAAUGAAUUCCUGGAGUCCUGAAAAAGAUCCAGAAAUGAAUCCCUGGAGUCGUGACAGGUCCAGAAAUGUACCCCUGAAAAAGAUCCAGAAAUGAAUCCCUGGAGUCGUGACAGGUCCAGAAAUGUACCCCUGAAAGAGAUCCAGAAUGGAAUGCCUGGAGUAUUUUGUGAAACCCAGAAAUGCAAACCCGGUCAAUGAAAUCCGAAGUGAAUCUCCUAAUGCUGACAUAAUUUGACAUAAUUUGACAUAAAUGCCUGGAGGAAAAGAAUCCAGAAAUGGGUCCCAGCCAGAAAUGGGUCCCAGCAAACUUUCUGAAAAGCAUAUCAAAACUGCUAACACUCUUUUGACGAUACUGUCUGUGAUGGUCCAAAAGUAAUAACUAUUACCUGAAUGUUGAGCUAACGACUUCAGAAAUGAAAAACCGUGACUAAACGAAAAGACAAUACCUGAGUUGACAAGAGCAACUGUGAAGCAAUCCAUAAUACUUAACUCAGAAAUGAUUUUUUUAAACGAAUUUUAAUAAUAAGAUACGAAGCUGUUUCAAAAGACAGAGAAAGUCGUUGUCUCAAAAGACGGAGAGAGUCUGACAAAUUUUGAAAAAGAAAAAAAAUAAAAACUCCAUAGAAAAGAAAAGUUUUCCUGUGGUUGUUAAUGGAAUUUCAUCGCAAUACCGAACAUAACUCUUAGGCAUCAACAAAGUGGAUGUUCUAAAGACAAGUUCGAAUAAAGCAAAGAUCACAAUAUCCUUCUUUUAUCACAGUUUUGUGACAGAAACUCGACGCAAAAGAGGUAAAUCUUUGGAGUACUUGAAACAUUUCUUGUUCUCACAAUUGUACCCAAAAGUGAAAAA
rnacentral:lncRNA from 1 species